CUGCAUUACAACAACUAGGAAAACUCGAAUGGAACGUUAAUGAAGAUCCCCAACACAUUUCCUCCCUUCCUUCCUGGUUUUCAUCCCCUCCAGGGGGUAGAGUAUUUGCUAACAUCACAUGCUUUAUAAAUUUUUCCAAUCACUAGCAUUGCAAUUGAGGGAAUUUUCGACUAAAGUGCUGCAUCUUUACUCUCAUCCCCAAAUGGAUUUCUGCAGCCAUUACACAUUUGUUUUUCUUUAAGAAAAACAAGUGGAGAUCCCAAUGGAAAAUGGUCUUUGAUAAAUAAGAGCUCCUUCAGGUGGUUUUACCCAACCAUUUGAAAUCACAGUUGCCAUAAAUGAUCUCUCAUAUUUCCGCAAGGCAAUUCUGUUAGCAGGAUUGCUCCCAGGGGGCUCUUUUACAAUUCUACAUGUUUCAUUCAUGGGAAAAACUAGCAAUAUUCACCUUAUGCCAUUGAAGCAGAAGAUUCCAGGGAUAAACUAGGAAUGCUUAGAAACCCUAGGAAGAAUAUUGGUGAUCUGGAAUGUCUGAUCACCAUGGCUUUGGAUUCUGUUUUGUUUUUCUAUUCAAGUGCCUGUCAAAAACUCCAUUUAUGUUUUCUUUGCUACUUAAAAAGAUCUUGCUUAGAGACCUCUGACACAAGAAGUCAAAUUCAAGCACUAUUAUCAACACAUCAAAGCAAAAAAGUUUGUCGAUAACAUGGUAACAAAGAACAAUAGAGACUAAGAAGAAAUGGGGAAAAGGCUUUAGAAAUAUCCAGCAAAACAAGUCAGUCCCUGGACAAUACAGAAACAUGAAAAAUGAUAAAGUUAAGCCAUCUUUUUCCCACUGAUGUUGACCUUCUUCUCAUUGCUCCUACCGUGUACAUAUUUGUUAAAGGGCUCUGUGCUUAAUUGAAAGUAUCCAAGUGUGAGUCUUACAUGUGCCUAGAUAAAGGUAGAAAAGUUAAAACAUGAAUAAAAAUGGCAAAUGUUGACA
rnacentral:lncRNA from 1 species